UGGGGUGUAGUCUAGUGGUAGGACACAUGACUCUGGAUCAUGGCGCGGGGGUUCGAGUCCUCCCACCCCAGCCA
rnacentral:tRNA from 1 species